rnacentral:rRNA from 1 species
CGAACGCUGGCGGCAGGCUUAACACAUGCAAGUCGAGCGCAUCCUUCGGGGUGAGCGGCAGACGGGUGAGUAACGCGUGGGAAUCUACCUUUUGCUACGGAAUAGCUCCGGGAAACUGGAAUUAAUACCGUAUGUGCCCUUAGGGGGAAAGAUUUAUCGGCAAGAGAUGAGCCCGCGUUGGAUUAGCUAGUUGGUGGGGUAAAGGCCUACCAAGGCGACGAUCCAUAGCUGGUCUGAGAGGAUGAUCAGCCACAUUGGGACUGAGACACGGCCCAAACUCCUACGGGAAGCAGCAGUGGGGAAUAUUGGACAAUGGGCGCAAGCCUGAUCCAGCCAUGCCGCGUGAGUGAUGAAGGCCUUAGGGUUGUAAAGCUCUUUCACCGGAGAAGAUAAUGACGGUAUCCGGAGAAGAAGCCCCGGCUAACUUCGUG